rnacentral:rRNA from 1 species
CAAGGGCAACCGGCGAACGGGUGCGUAACACGUGAGCAAUCUGCCGUUCUUGUGGGGGAUAGCCGGCCCAACGGCCGGGUAGUACCGCAUACGCUCUUCUGGCGACAUCGCCUAGAGAGGAAACCCUUCGGGGGCAAGACGAGGAGCUCGUGGCCUAUCAGCUAGUUGGUGGGGUCAAGGCCCACCAAGGCGACGACGGGUAGCUGGUCUGAGAGGAUGGCCAGCCACAUUGGGACUGAGAGACGGCCCAGACUCCUACGGGAGGCAGCAGUGGGGAAUCUUGCGCAAUGGCCUAACGGCUGACGCAGCGACGCCGCGUGUGGGAUGACGCCCUUCGGGGUGUAAACCACUGUUGCCCGGGACGAAGAGCGGACUUUAGUCCCCCUGACGGUACCGGGUGAGGAAGCACCGGCUAACUCCGUGCCAGCAGCCGCGGUAAUACGGAGGGUGCGAGCGUUGUCCGGAAUCACUGGGCGUAAAGGGCGCGUAGGCGGCUCGUUAAGGGUGCGGUGAAAGCCCGGGGCUUAACCCCGGGUCGACCGUGCCGACUGAUGAGCUCGAGCACUGUAGAGGCAGGUGGAAUUCCGGGUGUAGCGGUGGAAUGCGUAGAGAUCCGGAAGAACACCAGUGGCGAAGGCGGCCUGCUGGGCAGUGGCUGACGCUGAGGCGCGACAGCGUGGGGAGCAAACAGGAUUAGAUACCCUGGUAGUCCACGCCGUAAACGAUGGGCACUAGGUGCCUGGGGGAGCGACCCCCUGGGUGCCGGCGCUAACGCAUGAAGUGCCCCGCNUGGGGAGUACGGCCGCAAGGCUGAAACUCAAAGGAAUUGACGGAAG